rnacentral:rRNA from 1 species
AACGAACGCUGGCGGCAUGCCUAACACAUGCAAGUCGAACGAGACCUUCGGGUCUAGUGGCGCACGGGUGCGUAACGCGUGGGAACCUGCCUUUAGGUUCGGAAUAACUCAGAGAAAUUUGAGCUAAUACCGGAUGAUGUCUUCGGACCAAAGAUUUAUCGCCUUUAGAUGGGCCCGCGUUGGAUUAGCUAGUUGGUGGGGUAAAGGCCUACCAAGGCGACGAUCCAUAGCUGGUCUGAGGGGAUGAUCAGCCACACUGGGACUGAGACACGGCCCAGACUCCUACGGGAGGCAGCAGUGGGGAAUAUUGGACAAUGGGCGAAAGCCUGAUCCAGCAAUGCCGCGUGAGUGAUGAAGGCCUUAGGGUUGUAAAGCUCUUUUACCCGAGAUGAUAAUGACAGUAUCGGGAGAAUAAGCUCCGGCUAACUCCGUG